GGGUUGGAUAACUUGGGACCUUUUCCUAGGGCCGUCGGCGGGUACCGGUACCUCUAUGUCGCCAUUGACAAAUUCACCAAGUGGCCGGAAGCAACUCCAGUGGUCAACAUCACCAAGGCGUCAGCAACCGCUUUCCUCAAGUCGAUCGUGUGCCGGUUCGGGGUUCCGAACCGGGUCAUCACUGACAAUGGAACUCAGUUCACAAGCCAGUACUUUCAAGAGUACUGUGAGGAUAUUGGCAUCCAGCUCUGUUUUGCCUCAGUGACGCAUCCCAGGAGCAAUGGCCAAGUCAAGUGGGCUAAUGUUGAGAUCCUCAGAGGACUCAAGAUCCGGACCUACUGUGAUCUUGAGAAACAUGGCGCAAGGUGGAUUGAUGAGCUUCCGAGUGUGCUGUGGGGAAACCGGACCACACCCUGCCGGGCAACAGGGGAAACCCCUUUCUUCUUGGUCUACGGGGCCGAAGCGUGCCUUCCUCCGGAGAUCACCAUGGGCUCUCUAUGAGUCCAAGCUUUUGAUGAGGACUUGCAGGAACAGCAGCGUCGCCAAGACGUGGACCUCGUCGACAAGCGCAGAUGGCGAGCAGCAGUUCGAAACGCACGGUACAACCAAGCGCUCCGACGCUAUCACCAACGGUUCGUGUGUAGUAGGGAGCUCCGGGUCGGGGACCUAGUCUUGAGGCAGAUCCUGAACCGAGAGGGCCUCCACAAGCUCUCCCCUAGCUGGGAGGGGCCCUUCAGGGUGACAAAGGUAUGCCGACCCGGAUCUGUUCGCCUGGCUACGGAGGAAGGCAUGCAACUACCCAAUCCAUGGAACAUUGAGCACCUCCGUAAGUUCUAUCCCUAGGACCUAGUUGAGAGGAAAAUUUUCCUUUGUAAUUGGUAGCAUCAACGUGCGGACCAGGGCGGUGGAGGUCCGCCCUCGUAAACCCGGCCCCUGGCGUACAUCGCACAACUCUUCUGUACCAAUUCAUUAAGGAAAAAUUUGUUUCUCAGUGUGUCCUUGAAGUUUAUACGAUUCUAUUUUUCUUUGUUUCUUGCUACGCUAACCCCCCACGUGGCCUCUCGCGUCUUUCUCGUGCCCAAGGCCUUUCUUAAGUUGCUGCGCUACGUCUCUGCACCGGGACCUCCGUCUCGCAGGAGAAAAGGAACCGGACACCCGGGAAUCGAUUUCAGGGAGACGUGCUCGUUCUUUGCUGGGGUCCAGGGUCGUGUAGCCGUUUAGCCUGGUUCCGUACCCUAAGCCUGCAUGCCCUGCCCCCCUAGAGCGAGUAUCAUCGUACCUCCAACCAUGGACCCAGGGGCCGGGACCCCUUUAAUCCCCGAACCUAGGCCCUGGUGCUCUGACUCGCUACGCAACUUAGGAGUCCUUCGCUCGCUAGUCCAAGACCUCGUGGGGACGUCUACUAAACGUUGAUCCUAAGUCAUGUGCAGGACCUCAGUUCUAUGGCAGCUAGUCCCGAUCUAUCGCGACUACCUCCCAGGGGCCCACGGGACCUCAGUGUGCUUGAGAACACUUUACAGAUUGAUAACCAGGAAAACAGCUAAGUUUUUCGCAAAAAAUUAGAUGCACGAAAUACUUAAAUGCAUUACUGAUAAUGUGCACAACAUCACAAAGUUAUCUUACAUAACAAAAGUUAUAUUACAAAAGAAACAACAAAAAGAUACUAGAACUACUGUCCGGCGGCACCCCCACUCUCUACAGGUUCGGGGCGGCGUCGAAUGCGUGCCAUGACCAUGUCGGCCGCCUCCUGGACUCCUUCUUGCGCGGCGGCUGCCGUUGCCCGGAGAGGUCCGACCAGCACAGGGGUCAGUUGGAUGGCGGGGUCGUGGCUACGAAAGCUGGUGAGGAUGUAUUCCGCCAUCCCCUGAGCAACUGCACGCCCUUCCGUCUCCAGGAGGUCCUGUAUGCUGGCCUCCACGUCCCGCAGCCGCUCGGCGGUGGAGUUCAGCACCUGGAGGGCGGCGCCAAGUGGAGAUGGAGCCUCCGUCACCCAGAUGGGGUUAGCUCCGAGUGCAUCCUGCAGAGGGUUCACCGCACCGACCCAUCUUGUGAUAUGGUCGAUGCUGGCGCUCCGCUCCUCCAGGAGCUCCUCCACCUUGGUUUCCCUCUCCUGGAGGGCCGCCUCACGCUCCUGGAGCCUCCGGGACCCGGCUGCCAACUCCUCCUCCACGGCCUCUUCCCGCUUCUGGAGCUCCUGGAGCCGGGCCACCUCCUCUGCUUCGCGGGCGGCCAGCCAUUCUUCUUUCUUCGCUGCGGCUGCCGCCAGUUCUGCAAGGACGGUCUCUUGCGCCUUGACCGCUGCCGCCGCCCUCUUGGCCUGGUCGGCCAGCUCCAGGGCGGUCUGCUCCCUGUCUGCUGCCGCCAGCACCUUCUCCUCCGCCGCGAUCUCCCGCUCGAGGGCUUGCGCUUCCCGCCGCGUGGCCGCUCUCUCCCGUUGGAAUGCUGCCGCCUCCCGGUUGCGAGCCUGCUGCAGCUGCUCCUGCAGGAGCUCGCGCUCUAGCACGAGCUUGGCGCGCUCAUCGGCGUAGCGGGCGGAGACGGACUUGAUGCGGUCCCCUAGGCGGUGCUCCCAGUCGGAGAGCCGGAGAUGCUCCGCCUCCAGCUUCUCCCAUUCCCGGCGAAUGCCAGCCUCCAACUCCUUCUGAGCCUGCUGGCAUUUGGCAAAGAGCCGGGGGAGAGGGAUCUCCGCUGUGCUCGGGAGGAGGCGCCUUCCCAGCACCACCUCCGGUUCCUCCUCCUCCGCUGGUGGGGCGGCGGUGCUGGCGACCUCAGUGACCUCCGGUGCCGCUGUCUCCGCCGCCUCCGCUGCCUCCAGCGCUGCAGCCUCCGCCAUAGCAGCGGCCCCCUCUGGUGCUGGCUCAGCUGUAGGGGGCCCGGCCUCGACGCUCGGUGCUGCUGCCGGUGCCUCGGUCGCUGCAGCGGGUCUGGCGGCCUCCUCCUGGGGGCGGCUUCGGGUCAUGGCGGUGUGGUGGCCUCCGGCUCCGGACCCCUAGGUCCGGAGGCUUCUGGAGCUGUCCCAGGCGGGGGUCCUGCUGGAGUCGACGCCGAAGAUUCCGGCGCUGGCUGGGGGCCGGAUCCCCCGAUUGGUGCCUCUGAAGAUUGGGGCCUGCCGUAUCACCGAUAUGGUUAAGGCCUAGAAGUUAAGAGGGAUAAUGAAAAAACUCUGAGAAGGCUACUUACGCGAAGUCAUACCACUCCCAUCUGCCCCGGGCGGCUGGGGGGACUUUCUUCCCCGCCGAGGACCCCCCGGACCUUAGGCGGGUGUCCCCGGCCACCGGUGCUUCUGGCGGCGGCAAUGGGGUCUGUGGCCUGGGCUCGGGCGGUGGUGGUGGCGUCGCCGGUCGUCGUGUCGGCGGUGGUGGUGGAGGAGUCUGCUGCCUCGGAGGAGGCCAUCGCGCCUCCUCCGAUCUCCUCUCCGGCUACUGGUGUUGCGGCGGAGGUGGUGGAGCUCCGCUCUGCUCUUCCGCCCCCGCCGUCUUCUGGCGCUUGGGCGCCGGCUCCCCGACCAAGGAGCCAUCGCCACGCUGGAGCCUCCGGGACUUGCUCCCUUCGGCUUGGCUGCUCUGCGCGGGUGCCGCUCCCUGAGCCUCGUCGCUCCUUUGGGCCGGGGCAGCACCCGCAUUGUCCUUGUGCCGGUGCUCCGGCACCGGCACCUUCUCUUUCCCUUUCCCGCCGGGGGCCGGACCUCCGGGUCUUGGCUCCCCGGGACCUUCGCUGGUACGUUGCUGGCGGUCCGGUGUGGCGCCAGGGAUCUGGAGCCCGCGGUUGGGGUCGCCUCCCAGUUGCCGGACCGCCAGGCCACCCUCGUCCAGGGUCGGCAUCGACGCCAGGACUGACGCCCGCAGCGCCUGGUCCUCGCACAGGGCCUUCACCCCGCUCGGGAGGACCAGAGACUCCGGGCUGAAUGCGUCACCGGUCAUCCCCCUGAUCGCGACCUCCAGCUCCGCUCUGGUGAAGUCGGCCCCGGGUCCGCGCGCGAUCCUGCAGCAAUCAUUUAGCCAUGUGUACAUGUAGGCCAUCCGGGUCCGCUACUACAGGGGGGCGAUCCGCCGCUUCAAGAAGUCGCCCAGCACUAUCAUGGAUGUCAGGCCGCUCCGUUGGAGAUUCUUUACCCGAUCAAGGACCGGGCCGAGCUCCUUCGGUAUCGUCGGCUUGGCCUUCCAAGUGCUCCGGUCGCUCUGGGGUCCGUCGGUUGGCAGCUCCAGGCGGUCGUGGGGGUCGGCCUCCGCAAUGACCCAGCCUUCACGCCAGUCCUCCCACUUUGAGCUGGAGAAGGCGGGAAUGUAGGAGCUCGCCAUCCCGUGCCGAAGCUGGAAGUAGUACGCGCCGACCUCGCGCCUGCUCCUCCCGAUCCCGACCAAGGCAUAGAUAUGCCUGAAGAUGGUGGUGCAGGGGCGCACCCCCACGAACAUCUCCAUGAAAUGGGCGAAGACCGCCACGAGAAGGAUGGAGUGGGGGUGAGAUGGUGAAGUUGGAGGCCGAACUCCUCCAGGAGCAGAAGGAAGAAGGAGGAGAACGGAGGGACCAACCCGCACAUGGCGUACGAGUUGAAGAGAAUGAACUCCCCCGCGGCAAGGUCGCGGAGGGGGAUCUUGCCGGCCCUGAUCUUCUUGGCGUUUGCCGGCGAGGUCCAUCCCACCAGGCGGCGCACCAGGUCCAGUUGGGCCUGGGUCUAGAAGCGACGCGGGAAAGGAAGUGAAGACAUGGCGAUGGCGGUGAAAUCGCUAAGGAUGGAUCGCAAAGGAGCAGGGAAGAGAAGGAAGCCGAGCGCAAGGAAGCUGAUCGCAAGGAAGGUUGUGAAGACGAAGGGGCGCUACAGCGUCUGUUGAUGGUAAGAGCAAAAAGGUAGCCGUUCCAUUCGGCGCCUACCUUUUAUGCAAAAGGUUGUUGCCCUCUUGCGCUCCGCGACGACCAAGGAGAAGUCGAACAGUUGCUUGCACCAGGCCCCCUCCUCUCACACCCAAUGACCGGUGGGCCCGGGCCCGCCAGUCAAAGGCGUGACCGCUGGAGGAAUGGGAGAAGGGUGGAAUCCGAACCGCCCGAGCCGCGGGGCGGGCUCGAAUAAGACAAGAAUCUGAACCGCCUAACGCGCAUGGCGCGGGCGGGGGACGGGCCCCUCGGGGAUCCCGCUUUGAGGGAAAGGACAUCCAUGCCCUUCCCCGGCGGGAACAAGCUGUCCACCCGGCGCAAUGCUGGGAUCUGGCCCCACCUGCGGGUUCAUCCCUCACCCGAGGUGGGCCCGGGGGCCUCUGUCGGUACAUACGAACAGGGGUACCUCCUGCUAGGGUGUUCAGGCCUUUAGCGUCUCACAAUCCGUGAUCUCCCCCUCGCCUUCUGGGUGACGUGGCAUACGGUCCGGGCCUGACAGCUGGGACCAUGGUCUCCGAACCCUCCUCGUGCUCUUCCAGGUCCGGGGCCUCCGCGUGCCCAGGGAGGCUGGAGAGCUCUCGGGUAGCUCCCGCAGACCCGGACUCCCCAGGAAGGUCCGGGCCCGCCACGUGUGAUGGCUGGACCAUCACAGACCUGGCCGCUCCAACCGGCCCCGGGGGCCCGGACCCCCUUCCCCCGGGAAAGGGGUCCGGUGCCACCACGUGCCGCCCCCGCGGUGGGAGCGGGGCUGGCCCUACCACGUGCCCGUUGCCGGGGGCCCUUCGUGGGUCUUCAGUCCACUUACCGGCUUUUAAUGCGGUAGCUGGGCCGGGUGCGCCUAAGUCAAAAAGUAUGGCCUGCCACUGACACACGGGGCAGGUAGGCUGACACCACGGUAAGCCCGCCUGUUUCCGAGGCGGCGCGUCGUGUCACCGUAUACUGUGCGCAGGCGGCGUACAGCCCCGUCACAGCGCCGCACACGGCGUGAUGAUGGCCCGUAACAGGAGAGCCGAGGCGUGCGCUGCCACAGUGCACGCGGAGGCAACGACGCAGCGGGUCAGCGCUGCUCCUUCGCCUGACAGGUUCUCACCCAACGGUGGUAACACAGCUCCACUGUUGGGUAACACUGACGGCGGUCACGAUGCAAGACAAGGCUGCACACGGCCAUAUCCUGGCUAUAGAUACGCACAUCAACUUCUCGAUAGAGAAGACUACGGAGAGGAGCUGGAGAUGAAGAUCUGCAUAUCUCUCAUAGAACAGACUCCUGUUGGCCGGGUCCACCUGUCGGGGCCCCGCACAGGGUAAGCACAUCCCUUGGACUAUAAAAGGAAGAGUGCACUCGUUAGAGGACAAGAUCCAGACUAAGAUUCACAGGGCUCACAGACAGGCUUCUACAACCAAUACAACUUCUAAGUCGACGUAGGGUAUUACGCUCCGGCGGCCCGAACCACUCUAAAUCCUUGUGCCUUUCCUGCGUUCAUCCGCACGUCGAUCGAGCGCUCCUAAGUCUCCUCCAAACCCAUCCUUAACUAGGAUUAGGCGGGUGCAUUCCGCCACCCGGCUAGAGAUUUCCUCCGACAGGGUGGCACAUGGGAAAGUCGGAUUAGGUAAAUGGGAAAGUCGGAUUACGUGGAGGGCCCCUUUAAUGAAUUAUCUAAUCCUGUCGCAUGUUUAUUUGGACUUAGCAGUUUUAUGAAAAGGUUCGCUAGUUGAUUAGGAUAAUGAAUGCGGUGACGUGACGGUGAUGUGCAGGAUUGCAUAGCGCUGACGGGAGCGUGACGCCGGCGUUGGCAUGACGCCGAGGGUGCGCAAGCACGUCGUGUGCAUUGGCACGACGCAGCCGCGUCCCCCCAACCCAGCCAGCCCACCCCAGCCGGCAGCCGCAAUGGAAAGAAGCACCAGCAACCACGGGUGGCUGCCGCAGCCGAGCCGGUCAACCCCGAACUCUCCUUCGAUCUUUUUUUAAUUUUUAUAAUCCGCGCCGCAGCGGAAGCCAUGGUGAUCGUGGUCAAACCCGGCAAAGGUAUUUCUAGUGCCCUCCCAUCCCGUGAUCCCAUCCCUCAAACCCACGCGCAAGUGUUUCACGAUGACGACGACGAUGAUGAGGCUGAGGCAGCACCUGGCCUCCCCUAUUUAUACCUCCGCCAUCGCCAGGAUCGGCAACAGAGCCCACCACCACCGCCUCCCCAUCGCGCCACCGCAAAAGCUGCGAACAAGUACUGCUACCCAGAACAAGCUCCUGCUCCUCCUGAUUGUCCUGCUAGUCUGCUUCUUGUUCUUCUUGAUCCCGACCGUCUUGUUGCCCCCAGCCCGGACCAUGUCGUCGUCGUCCUCCUCUGCCUCGGACGCCGCCGCCGCUUCGGCGCCGUUCGAGAAGCCCAGGGCCGUGGUCAAGAAGCUCCUCGCCGAGUCGCAGCCCGAGGGACAGGGCGCCACCGUCCGGAGGAGCAUCGGCAGGUAUCCCCCCGGUUCCGGGGAUCCCGAUUUCCUUUCCUUGUGCAAUUCUGCAGUUCAGCUAGCUGAUCCUGAUCGGGCGUUGACUUUCCCUCGCCUCUUUGCGCAGGCAUGAGCUCAGGAACCUGGACCCCUUCCUCAUGCUCGACGAGUUCUCAGGUAGGAGGAUUACUAGCUCCUUUCCGCUCACCCGCCUAAAAUUCCAAUCUUUCUUUUUUAUGCUCAAAGCAAAUGGUCCAGAUUUUCACCUUGUCUGCAACUAACUGUUCUCUGAAUCUCUGCUUGCAGUCUCCAAGCCCGCCGGGUUCCCCGACCAUCCCCACAGAGGAUUCGAGACCGUCACCUACAUGCUCGAGGUGCGUCCACUCUACUCCUCAACCCUUUGCUUACCUGCCGCGUUCUGCCCCCGCGAGCUGUUCGCUCAAAUGUCCGCUUCUGCGCUGUUGGUCGGGUUGCAGGGCGCCUUCACCCACCAGGACUUUGCAGGCCACAAGGGCACCAUCAGGACUGGGGAUGUCCAGUGGAUGACUGCCGGGCGAGGCAUCGUGCACUCGGAGAUGCCGGCGGGAGACGGGGUGCAGAAGGGCCUGCAGCUCUGGAUCAACCUCUCCUCCAAGGACAAGAUGUACGUACUACGAUUGCCAUUAGCAGCUUGUUGACAUUUUGGUUGCAAGUGCUCAUUGUUGUUGGGAAUGGGUGGUGAUUUUGCCUGCCUGCAGGAUCGAGCCCCGGUACCAGGAGCUCCAGAGCAAGGACAUCAGCCGCGCCGAGAAGGACGGCGUGGAGGUCCGGAUCAUCGCCGGCGAGGCCUUCGGCGUGCGCUCCCCGGUGUACACGCGCACCCCGACCAUGUACAUGGACUUCACCAUGCCGCCGGGGUCGGAGCUCCAUCAGCCCGUCCCGGAGGGCUGGAACGCCUUCGUGUACAUCAUCGACGGCGAGGGCGUGUUCGGGCGGGAGAAGUCGGCCGCCGUCGGCGCGCACCACUGCCUCGUGCUGGGCCCCGGCGACGGGCUGAGCGUGUGGAACAGGUCCGGCGCGCCGCUGCGGUUCGCGCUGGUGGGCGGGCAGCCGCUGGGCGAGCCGGUGGUGCAGCACGGGCCCUUCGUCAUGAACUCGCGCGCCGAGAUCCAGCAGGCCAUGGAGGACUACUACUACGGCAAGAACGGCUUCGAGAGGGCCAGCCAGUGGACAUCCUCCGCAUGAAACUUGGAUGGGACAGAGUAGACCAUCAGCUGAUAAUCUCUCUGAUCUUGAUAAUUAUUUUUUCUCCUUACUGUAUUGUAGAAAGGAUGUGUUUUUGUUAUUUGUAUGGUGAUUGUAAUAACUAAUAAGCAGGUUGGCAAAUUUAUAGUCUUGAUAAACCCUGAUUUCUUUCAAUGGAUUUAAUUCGUUCAUUUGAAUUGUUGUCUGCAUCAUAAUCAAGAUACAGUCGAAGUCAAAUCACCAUCCGUGCUCCAAGUUUCGAACCUUCGAGAGUUCAUCCGAUUUGUGGUCUGCGGAUAAGGAUUUUUUCCCCUUCCAGUAAAAUUUUUCAACACGGCGGAAUUUUCGCGUACACGUGUCAGCACAGAGAACAAGCCACGUGGCAUAGUGGCCAGCUCGUGGCCGCCACAGGAUUGCCGCCCAUCCAUCGCAGCGAAGGGAAUCAUUUCAGACCCUCCCUCCACCUCCACUCCACUCGUUCCGCUUGUCCCCCUCGCCACCAGGUCCACCACCGCCGGCGGCCGCCACCGGCACCCACGCCCACGCAAUGCUGGCGGCGUCCCUCAAGCCCGCGCCCUCCCUCGCGGCCUUCUCCCCUUCCGCCCGGAGGAGCCCCGCGCCAUCAGUCUCCUUCUCCUUCCCUGCCCGCCUCAACCAGCGUCCGCUCCUCUCGGCCGCCGCAACCGCCGAGGGAACCGGCGCCCCGGCAGGCCAGGGAGAAGUCUCCUCCUCCUCCACCGCCGCCGCUCCCCCGAUCGAUGAGGCGCGCCUCGCUCAGGUCCGUACCGUGUUAAUUUCUCGGUAUUCCCUUCUCGUCUGCUGCUGGAGCACACGGCUGCUGCUCGAUGAAAUGCCGGUCAAUUAAGGGAAUUGUGCUGCCUGCAGUUCGCUGCGGACUGGGAAGUUGCGCGCGCGGACAAGGAGCAGGGGAAGAUCCUCACGCUGCCGGUGCUCAGGGCAAACAGCGGCGGGCUCAUCGUCAAGUUCAACUCCCUGCAGGGGUUCGUGCCCAACCCUCUCCUCAGCCCCGCGCACUGGUGUAAAGGUACUAGUUUUAUUUUCUCCAAUUCGUGCAAUCCGCUGCAGAUUUUGUGAACAUCCAGUGAUUGCCAGGAAAUAUGAGGUAGUGGUUGAUUUUAGUUAAGCUUGCAGACCCCAAAAGGCCCAUCCAAGAUGCUACGAAGGACCUAGUGGGAACGUCCAUUUCUGUCAAGGUAAUUGAGUUUUCUUUGAUUGUUCCAUUGCACCAUCUGUUUGCAGUUGGCUGUGACUAUUAUUGUUGUAACCUAUUGGGAAGAAAAUGAAGGAUUAACCCAAAGUUUAUUUAUAUGUAUUAUGUAUAAUGUCCUGACUCAUAAUGCAGCCUGUGUGCAACUUGAACCUGUUGUUACUGCUUGCAUCACAAACAAACAUGGUUUCUGCCUAAUAAGUUUAUACUCUGAAAAUUGGAUAAACUGAGCUCAAGAUUUUGAGGUUUUGUCGAUCUAAUUUUAUUAGAAGCUGAAUGUUACACUAGGUGUCUGAAGUAAAUGAGGAGGAAAGGAAGCUUGUCUUCUCCGAGAAAGAUGCUAGUUGGUCAAAAUACUCUUCCCAAAUCAAGAUUGGUGACAUCUAUGAUGGAAUUGUGGGCUCAGUGUUCCCCUAUGGUGCAUUUGUUCACCUGCGAUUUCCUGAUGGUACUUAUUGGCAACAUAUUUGCCAUUUACUGUGCUAAUUAUUCGAUGUAGAGUAUCUGACAACAGCUACAUUCUACAGGAUUAUAUCAUCUUACUGGUCUUGUACAUAUCUCUGAGGUGUCUUGGGAUCUUGUCCAAGAUGUUCAGGAUUUUCUAAAUGAAGGGGAUGCUGUCAAGGUCCUAGUGGUCAAUAUUGAUAUGUAAGCACUUUCUAAAACCUUACUGGGCUAGCUGCAUGCACAAUUGCUACUGUUGUGUCUUGAUGAAGUAGAUGUAAUAUAUGAAACUUUGGUGUAAAAUGUUUCAGUUACCGUAUCAUAGAAACACCCUACAUGGAAAUUGUUAGUUGCGUCAGUUGGCAUGGAUGUACGGUAACUUGGUAUACAUUAGGACUGAAGGGUGUGGUAACUAUGGAGAGCAUGCAUGACAAGUGUCCACAUUUUCAAAUUAACAUUCUUUCAGUUAUGAAAGAUAUACUAUUCAUAGGAGGGCAGCCUAAUAGAAUGUUGAUAUGAGUUAGUUAUCUGUUUCAGCAAAGCAUCAUUUUUCUUUGUGCUUUGUCAUGAAUGAGGUUCAUAUGAAAUAAUUGGACAUACUUUGCAUUAAAAAAAACAGGGAGAAGUCAAGGAUAGCUUUAUCAAUCAGACAACUGGAGGAAGAUCCUCUAUUGGAGACAUUGGACAAAGUUAUUCCUUUGGUUAGUUGUUGAACGCAAUGUCUAAGACUCUUAGUGUAUUUAACUUUGUGGAGGGAUGAAUGUGGACUCAUUUAGUAACCUUUUUUCUUAUAGGAAGCUGAUCAAUCUCCUGACCGCAUCAUGUCUCCUUCAGAAGUUGAACUUCUGCCAGGACUUGAUGGUAUAUGUAAUGAACUACUGCAAGAGGAUGGGUAUGUUUUUGUUUCUGUGAUUGAUAUCUAAUCUUUUAACAUUGUUGUAUAUACAUCGAUAGCAAGUUCCUUACUGGCAAAAAUAUACCAGGUCACACAAAUGCUACGGCAACAUCUAUCUAUAGUCAAGUUAGCUGUAUAUUUUCACAGUAUCAUCCAUAGUCUAAUUAAUUCUAUUAUCUUUACAGUAUAACUGAUGUACAGUUUGGACGGCAAGCGUUGGAAAAACGUGUUGUUUCACAAGAUUUGGAGCUUUGGCUUUCCAACGUAUGAUUCCAGUCAACGCCAACCUUUUCAUAGUUGUAGCUCACAGGAUAUUACAAAUGAAUCAUGUUAAAAACUUGGAAUAACCUGUCGGAUCUCAUUACACAGGUGCCAGCUAAGGAUAACAAGUUCACGCUACUUGCGCGAGCUGGGAGGCAGGUUAGAUUUCUUCUGAUACUGCACUUGAUUUCUUUUCUUUUCUGAGGGGUUUCAUUUGGCCUUGGCUGGGUCAGUGCCAACUAGCUAGAAGUACAAGAAUUAUGAUUCCUUCGUAUUACUUGGCAGGUCCAGGAAGUGUAUUUGACAACCUCCCUAGACCAGGAGGGCAUAAAGAAGGCUGUGCAAAGAGUACUAGGGCGUGUUCCUUGAGUCUGGCACACAGCAAGUAGAAGCAGAGGUGUGGUUGCCUGCCCCCCGCCCCCCCCCCCCCCAAAAAAAAAAAAGAAUUUCUAACUAUAGAAAGCAUUAUAACGAAUCAACUGCACGAGCAAACAGCCUGAAAUAUUGUCACCGUCACCAUACUCUGUUAAACUUUUAUUGUCUCUGUUGGAUACUACACCAACCAAAAUCUGUAAAUAUUUGUAGCGCUACAAUGAGUAGUUUAGCCAUCCUCUACACAAGCAUGUCGUUAAGGGGUGGUUGUAUGUAUUUGCUGGGGUCUGCCUUUUGAUGUCACUGCUUGUACUUGUCUGAACUCUUGAGGCCGCUUUUGUGUAUAUGAGUAUACCAAAGUUUUAUGUCAGUACAAACUUAUUCAGCAACUUUUGUUCCUUACCA
rnacentral:lncRNA from 1 species